rnacentral:rRNA from 1 species
AACGAACGCUGGCGGCAUGCCUAACACAUGCAAGUCGAACGAGACCUUCGGGUCUAGUGGCGCACGGGUGCGUAACGCGUGGGAAUCUGCCCUUGGGUUCGGAAUAACUCGCCGAAAGGCGUGCUAAUACCGGAUGAUGACGUAAGUCCAAAGAUUUAUCGCCCAAGGAUGAGCCCGCGUUGGAUUAGCUAGUUGGUGAGGUAAAGGCUCACCAAGGCGACGAUCCAUAGCUGGUCUGAGAGGAUGAGCAGCCACACUGGGACUGAGACACGGCCCAGACUCCUACGGGAGGCAGCAGUGGGGAAUAUUGGACAAUGGGCGAAAUCAUGAUCCAGCAAUGCCGCGUGAGUGAUGAAGGCCUUAGAGUUGUAAAGCUCUUUUACCCGGGAUGAUAAUGACCGUACCGGGAGAAUAAGCACCGGCUAACUCCGUG